rnacentral:rRNA from 1 species
GAUGAACGCUGGCGGCGUGCCUAAUACAUGCAAGUCGAGCGAACGGACGAGAAGCUUGCUUCUCUGAUGUUAGCGGCGGACGGGUGAGUAACACGUGGAUAACCUACCUAUAAGACUGGGAUAACUUCGGGAAACCGGAGCUAAUACCGGAUAAUAUUUUGAACCGCAUGGUUCAAAAGUAAAAGACGGUCUUGCUGUCACUUAUAGAUGGAUCCGCGCUGCAUUAGCUAGUUGGUAAGGUAACGGCUUACCAAGGCAACGAUGCAUAGCCGACCUGAGAGGCUGAUCGGCCACACUGGAACUGAGACACGGUCCAGACUCCUACGGGAGGCCGCAGUAGGGAAUCUUCCGCAAUGGGCGAAAGCCUGACGGAGCAACGCCGCGUGAGUGAUGAAGGUCUUCGGAUCGGAAAACUCUGUUAUUAGGGAAGAACAUAUGUGUAAGUAACUGUGCACAGCUUGACGGUACCUAAUCAGAAAGCCACGGCUAUCUACGUG